CCUACGGGGGGCAGCAGUGGGGAAUAUUGGACAAUGGGCGAAAGCCUGAUCCAGCCAUGCCGCGUGUGUGAAGAAGGCCUUCGGGUUGUAAAGCACUUUCAGUGGGGAAGAAAGCCUUGGGGCUAAUACCCUCGAGGAAGGACAUCACCCACAGAAGAAGCACCGGCUAACUCCUUGCCAGCAGCCGCGGUAAUACGGAGGGUGCGAGCGUUAAUCGGAAUUACUGGGCGUAAAGCGCGCGUAGGCGGUCUGAUAAGCCGGUUGUGAAAGCCCCGGGCUCAACCUGGGAACGGCAUCCGGAACUGUCAGGCUAGAGUGCAGGAGAGGAAGGUAGAAUUCCCGGUGUAGCGGUGAAAUGCGUAGAGAUCGGGAGGAAUCCCAGUGGCGAAGGCGGCCUUCUGGACUGACACUGACGCUGAGGUGCGAAAGCGUGGGUAGCAAACAGGAUUAGAUACCCGAGUAGUC
rnacentral:rRNA from 1 species